UACCGCAUAAGCCUGUAAAGGGAAAGCAGCAAUGCGCAGAAAGAGGAGUCCGCGGCCGAUUAGCUAGUUGGUGAGGUAACGGCCCACCAAGGCGAUGAUCGGUAGCCGGCCUGAGAGGGCACACGGCCACACUGGCACUGAAACACGGGCCAGACUCCUACGGGAGGCAGCAGUGGGGAAUCUUGCACAAUGGGGGCAACCCUGAUGCAGCGACGCCGCGUGAACGAUGAAGCCCUUCGGGGUGUAAAGUUCUUUCGGCAGGGACGAUAAUGACGGUACCUGAAGAAGAAGCUGCGGCUAACUACGUGCCAGCAGCCGCGGUAAUACGUAGGCAGCGAGCGUUGUUCGGAAUUACUGGGCGUAAAGAGUGUGUAGGCGGUGCUCUAAGUUCGGUGUGAAAUCUCCUGGCUUAACUGGGAGGGUGCGCCGAAAACUGGAGUGCUCGAGUGUGGGAGAGGAAAGCGGAAUUCCUGGUGUAGCGGUGAAAUGCGUAGAUAUCAGGAGGAACACCUGCGGUGUAGACGCUUUCUGGACCAUUACUGACGCUGAGACACGAAAG
rnacentral:rRNA from 1 species